UACGAAGGGAGCUAGCGUUGUUCGGAAUUACUGGGCGUAAAGCGUAUGCAGGCGGACUUUUAAGUCGGGGGUGAAAUCCUGAGGCUCAACCUCAGAACUGCCUUCGAUACUGGAAGUCUUGAGUCCGGGAGAGGUGAGUGGAACUGCGAGUGUAGAGGUGAAAUUCGUAGAUAUUCGCAAGAACACCAGUGGCGAAGGCGGCUCACUGGCCCGGUACUGACGCUGAGAUACGAAAGCGUGGGGAGCAAACAGGAUUAGAUACCCUGGUAGUCCACGCCGUAAACGAUGGGUGCUAGCCGUCGGCAAGCUUGCUUGUCGGUGGCGCAGCUAACGCAUUAAGCACCCCGCCUGGGGAGUACGAUCGCAAGAUUAAA
rnacentral:rRNA from 1 species